UGGAGUGGUAUGGACGGAUUGCAUGCAGUUCAUCAAUAUCUUGGUCGCCCCUGCCGUUGUGCUUGGAAAGAUCAUGGUGGACUCGCUGUCCGCAAACUCAACGGUGCAGCCACUGAGUGAGAUGCACAUGAGGGUGUACAUGGGAGAAACCGUGUUCUCAGGUGCUCCCUUCUUCUACCAUAUGCUUCGUGCACUCUAUUGGGGAUUGCGAUAACAAUACGGUACAGAGGAUGUGAUCCAAUGCUAUCAGGUGCCAUAAAGAGGAUUGACCAGAUUAUACCGCAUUGCAUUACUACUAAACUUGUAAACAUACCCGGAUUCGCAGCGCUGUACUUGGCUGGUGUUGUAUGCGCCGGAACAAGG